rnacentral:ncRNA from 14 species
GGGGACGUAGCUCAAUUGGUAGAGCGUAUGUUUUGCAAGCAUAAAGCUGUCGGUUCAAAUCCGAUCGUCUCCA